rnacentral:lncRNA from 1 species
GGACGCUUCUUCUUCAAAUGAGUGAAUUUUUUAUGUCGGCCACAUCCGUUGCUGAUAGGUGUAUAAAAUUGAGCAAAUCAAAUCACAUUUUAUUUGUCACGUGCGCCGAAUACAACAGUGAAAUGCUUAUUUACAAGCCCUUAACCAACAGUGCUUUAAGAGGUUAAAAAUAAGUGUUAAAUAAAAAAUAGAUUAGUAAAAAAAAAUAAUAAUUAAACAGCAGCAUUGAAAUAACAAUAGCGAGGCUAUAUACAGGGUAUUACGGGACAGAGUCAAUGUGGAGGCUAUAUACAGAGUAUUACGGUACAGAGUCAAUGUGGAGGCUAUAUACAGGGAGCCGGUACAGAGUCAAUGUGGAGGCUAUAUACAGGGUAUUACGGGACAGAGUCAAUGUGGAGGCUAUAUACAGGGGGUACCGGUACAGAGUCAAUGUGGAGGCUAUAUACAGGGUAUUACGGUACAGAGUCAAUGUGGAGGCUAUAUACAGGGUGUUACGGUACAGAGUCAAUGUGGAGGCUAUAUACAGGGUAUUACGGUACAGAGUCAAUGUGGAGGCUAUAUACAGGGUGUAAUGGUACAGAGUCAAUGGGGAGGCUAUAUACAGGGUAUUAUGGUACAGAGUCAAUGUGGAGGCUAUAUACAGGGUGUAAUGGUACAGAGUCAAUGGGGAGGCUAUAUACAGGGUAUUAUGGUACAGAGUCAAUGUGGAGGCUAUAUACAGGGGGUACCGGUACAGAGUCAAUGUGGAGGCUAUAUACAGGCGGUACCGGUACAGAGUCAAUGUGGAG